CGCGUAGGCGGUUGUGUUAGUCAGAUGUGAAAUACUUCAGCUCAACUGAAGAAAUGCAUUUGAUACUGCAUAACUAGAGUACAGGAGAGGGAAAUGGAAUUCCCGGUGUAGAGGUGAAAUUCGUAGAUAUCGGGAGGAACACCAGUGGCGAAGGCGAUUUCCUGGCCUGAUACUGACGCUGAGGCGCGAAAAGCGUGGGGAGCAAACA
rnacentral:rRNA from 1 species